CAGCCGCCGCGGUAAUACGAAGGGGGCUAGCGUUACUCGGAAUUACUGGGCGUAAAGGGCGCGUAGGCGGCGCUCCAAGUUAGGCGUGAAAGUCCUGGGCUCAACCUGGGAACUGCGCUUAAGACUGGAGUGCUUGAGGAUGGAAGAGGGUUGUGGAAUUCCCAGUGUAGAGGUGAAAUUCGUAGAUAUUGGGAAGAACACCGGUGGCGAAGGCGGCAACCUGGUCCAUUACUGACGCUGAGGCGCGACAGCGUGGGGAGCAAACAGGAUUAGAUACCCCAGUAGUCCCUGUCUCUUAUAC
rnacentral:rRNA from 1 species